GACGAACGCUGGCGGCGUGCUUAACACAUGCAAGUCGAACGGAAAGGCCCUGCUUGCUGGGUACUCGAGUGGCGAACGGGUGAGUAACACGUGGGUGAUCUGCCCUGCACUUCGGGAUAAGCCUGGGAAACUGGGUCUAAUACCGGAUAGGAGCCAUUUUUAGUGUGAUGGUUGGAAAGUUUUUUCGGUGUAGGAUGAGCUCGCGGCCUAUCAGCUUGUUGGUGGGGUAAUGGCCUACCAAGGCGGCGACGGGUAGCCGGCCUGAGAGGGUGGACGGCCACAUUGGGACUGAGAUACGGCCCAGACGCCUACGGGAGGCAGCAGUGGGGAAUAUUGCACAAUGGGCGCAAGCCUGAUGCAGCGACGCCGCGUGGGGGAUGACGGCCUUCGGGUUGUAAACUCCUUUCGCUAGGGACGAAGCUUUUUGUGACGGUACCUAGAUAAGAAGCACCGGCAAACUACGU
rnacentral:rRNA from 1 species